GUAGGUGGCAAGCGUUGUCCGGAAUUAUUGGGCGUAAAGCGCGCGCAGGCGGGGUCCUUUAAGUCUGAUGUGAAAGCCCACGGGCUCAACCGUGGAGGGUCAUUGGAAACUGGGGGACUUGAGUACAGAAGAGGAAAGCGGAAUUCCAAGUGUAGCGGUGAAAUGCGUAGAGAUUUGGAGGAACACCAGUGGCGAAGGCGGCUUUCUGGUCUGUAACUGACGCUGAGGCGCGAAAGCGUGGGGAGCAAACAGGAUUAGACACCCUGGUAGUCCACGCCGUAAACGAUGAGUGCUAAGUGUUAGGGGGUUUCCGCCCCUUAGUGCUGCAGCUAACGCAUUAAGCACUCCGCCUGGGGAGUACGGCCGCAAAGGCUG
rnacentral:rRNA from 1 species